UUUAAACCCAACGACACCCAUUUUCUUUAUACCCUAGUAUUCAUUUGGCUAUGUUUGAUUGGUUUUAGGUUGGGGUGACCACGGAGCAUAAAAUAACCUCCACGAAGAAGAGACUAAUAAUCUUUAUCAAAGAAGUACACUUCCAAGAAUUAACAAAUUAAUUUCCAAUGAUCCGAUAUUCGAUCAACGAACCAAGUUACCCUGGGGAUAACAGCGCAAUCCACCUCAAGAGCUCCUAUCGACAGGUGGGUUUACGACCUCGAUGUUGGAUCAGGAUAUCCCAGUGGUGUAGCAGCUACUAAAGGUUCGUUUGUUCAACGAUUAAAAUCCU
rnacentral:rRNA from 1 species